ACUUACAUUAGCCUUUAUAUUAAGCACAUCUUUUAUUAGCAACCGUGUAAAGGUAGAGAACAGUUUGGCCUCUAGUUUAAUGCGUUUGCAAACAAAACUUUGUCUUCCUGAGGUUCCAUUUUUUAACAUUUGGAGCCGGAGAAAGCGAUAGGAUCCAAGGUGUUUGUAAUUGUAAUUUGGCUGUUCUUCUCUUUUCUUUUUUUUUUGUGCACAGGGCAAAGCCAGCUAGCGAGACUGAGUGUGAAGAUGUCCAGAAACUGCUGGCACUGUGGAAGACUUGGCAGAUGUGAAUGUAAUUGAUACUUCGGGAACUGACUGAAGAGGCUCAGAAUUGGCACUUGACUUUAUGAUCCUGAAAGAGUGCUGAACUUUCUUCCUGAUGAGCUCUGAUGGUGUACAGCUGUGCCUAGCGAUGCGCCACCAGACGUGGCCUGUUCCUCCGAGCCAUGUGUUGGCGGUUGGCCGCCAUCCUUGAUGCUGAACAGGCGCAGCUGUGAAAGGAACAUCGGUCGCGAACGCACAGAUGCCUUCACCAGAGUUUGGCCUAAUAAAACCCUUCACCCCCAAGAGUGGAGAACCUGUCAGCGAAUUAUGAAUGAUA